AACGAACGCUGGCGGCAUGCCUAACACAUGCAAGUCGAACGAAGCCUUCGGGCUUAGUGGCGCACGGGUGCGUAACGCGUGGGAAUCUGCCCUUGGGUUCGGAAUAACAGUUAGAAAUGACUGCUAAUACCGGAUGAUGUCUUCGGACCAAAGAUUUAUCGCCCAAGGAUGAGCCCGCGUAGGAUUAGGUAGUUGGUGGGGUAAUGGCCCACCAAGCCGACGAUCCUUAGCUGGUCUGAGAGGAUGAUCAGCCACACUGGGACUGAGACACGGCCCAGACUCCUACGGGAGGCAGCAGUGGGGAAUAUUGGACAAUGGGCGAAAGCCUGAUCCAGCAAUGCCGCGUGAGUGAUGAAGGCCUUAGGGUUGUAAAGCUCUUUUACCAGGGAUGAUAAUGACAGUACCUGGAGAAUAAGCUCCGGCUAACUCCGUGCCAGCAGCCGCCGCAG
rnacentral:rRNA from 1 species